rnacentral:rRNA from 1 species
CCUACGGGAGGCAGCAGUGGGGAAUAUUGCACAAUGGGGGAAACCCUGAUGCAGCAACGCCGCGUGAGUGAAGAAGUAGUUCGGUAUGUAAAGCUCUAUCAGCAGGGAAGAAGAAAGACGGUACCUGACUAAGAAGCCCCGGCUAACUACGUGCCAGCAGCCGCGGUAAUACGUAGGGGGCAAGCGUUAUCCGGAUUUACUGGGUGUAAAGGGAGCGUAGGCGGCGAUGCAAGUCAGAAGUGAAAGACCGGGGCUCAACUCCGGGACUGCUUUUGAAACUGUAUGGCUAGAUUGCAGGAGAGGCA